AUAUUGCAGUCUUUAUGUAUGUCAGACCCUGUUUAUUAAGGUAUAUUCUAUUUUUUUGAGUAAACCUAUAUUCUAUUUUUGAGUGAGCUUAUAUUACUUUAAAUUGUUGAACCCCUAUUUAAAGUGUACCUUUAAACUAUGUUUCUAUUAAGAUCACCUCUCUGGUAUAUGCUACUGGUGAAACAAAGAGAUGGGAACAAAAAGACCCCUAUUCUAUAGGCCUUGUUUAUGUCUUAAACCCAGACCACUUCCUUUAUUCGUAGAGUACAUAAAUCAUGAAUGACCAGUGGAUACACUUACUGGUACCCCUUUGUCUUGGGGAUAGGGAAUAGUGGGGUUGUUUGCCUGAUUUGGAAGAAAGAUUGGCUUUCUCGUUGAGAGCAAGUUUAGACUUCAAGGCAGAUAGACGUGUGAUGUAACUUCCCCCAGAAGUUACUAUGUCGCAGCUUUUUAAGACCUGCCUUGAUUUUGUUUCUUAACAGAGUUCCACCAUGGUUCCACCAUGGUUCCACUUCCAUUUCCCUCGGGACAAGAGUUGGGACUGCUGUCGUUGUUCAGGCAACGCUCUCCGCCUGAUCGAUGUAUUUAGUGCUUAUUGACGAACGACUUGUGUUUUAUCAUUUGUACUUCAUAUGAACAUCUAUUCUUUUCUUCUAUUCCCUAAUAUGUUUCUACUGUACAGUGUAGUUUACUUUGCUCUUUUGCUAUCAUUCUUGUAAUAAACAUUGUAAAGCUUUGCAUGUAGCUGUUUUUGUAAUAUUGUUGUUUGAAAUCGGAAAUGCCAGUUGUCACACUGGGAAUUUAUUAUCGGUGUACCUUUGACACUGAAUAUUAAUAAAUACCUCUUUGGAAUUAUCAUUGGCACAAAAUAUAUGUUUCAGACUUAUGUAUUUUAAUGGAUCUCCGUGUUUACUAAUCUUAAUUAAUUGAACCGGCGCAGGCAUAGGAAGUCUGUGUAACAAAUGGAGGCACUGCCCGGAUCAUUUUGUUAACCCUGUUUUUGGAUAGUUUAGCUUUAUAAUCUUUUUAAAAAUGUCUGACUCUGACUCUAAGUUUAAGGCAGAGCUAGUGAAGUUUCUGGCCGAACAGGUGGCCAAAGAUAAACCUAAGAAGUGUCCCAUAAGGCGAUCUGCAAUUAUGAGUUUGCAGAUGAAUUAGCCAUCUCAUCGGGCCACAUCUGAUAAACCUCCAGCCGCACUAGUAGUGGGUACCCAAUUCACUGUCUGGGCUGAGGUUGACGGAGUGUGUGCCCUGUGAGUGCCUUAUGGGCACUGGGUCGAUCCCAAGUGAUAUGCAUAUCUGCUUAUUGUUAUCACAAAAAGUUAGCGCACCGUCACUUGGAAUCCAUGACGACCUGUUCGUGUUUGGUGCAGGUGAAAUCAGAAGUUCCAUACAUUGGGUACAUCGAGGCCCAUCUGCAUUUUCACACUGACAAUUAGGUUGCGUUCAGUCAGAGACGACAACGCUGGCACUGGUUAUUUUUAUUUUACAAGUUUUAUUGGACAAGUUAGCACCAAACCAAUGAAAUCCUUAAUUGCCACCACCCUUCCCGGGUGAAGCUCAUUCUACCCAAGAAUGAAGCAUAGUGGCAGGAGGAAUCAUUCGGCAGUUCUCUGGAAAGGGAGUGUCGUCUGAUAGUUGGAUGCGGUGUUUGACUGAAGAGGUGCACCCAAUGUUGAGGUCAUCUACAGAGAAUUACAUCUUGCCAUCUAGGUAGGAAAGUAUGAGAUUGGUUAAUCUCUCUCUGUCCUCUGAAGUCUGCGGAAAUGUAUUAUUGUAUUGACUUGUAAUUAAAUAUGUCGGGACGCCAUGAUUCUAGGAGGGGAGAGUGUCAGACCCUGUUUAUUAAGGUAUAUUCUAUUUUUUUUGAGUAAACCUAUUUUCUAUUUUUGAGUAAGCUUAUAUUACUUUAAAUUGUUGAACCCCUGUUUAAAGUGUACCUUUAAACUAUGUUUCUAUUAAGAUCACCUCUCUGGUAUAUGCUACUGGUGAAACAAAGAGAUGGGAACAAAAAGACCCCUAUUCUAUAGGCCUUGUUUAUGUCUUAAACCCAGACCACUUCCUUUAUUCGUAGAGUACAUAAAUCAUGAAUGACCAGUGGAUACACUUACUGGUACCCCUUUGUCUUGGGGAUAGGGAAUAGUGGGGUUGUUUGCCUGUUUUGGAAGAAAGAUUGGCUUUCUCGUUGAGAGCAAGUUUAGACUUCAAGGCAGAUAGACGUGUGAUGUAACUUCCCCCAGAAGUUACUAUGUCGCAGCUUUUUAAGACCUGCCUUGAUUUUGUUUCUUAACAGAGUUCCACCAUGGUUCCACCAUGGUUCCACUUCCAUUUCCCUCGGGACAAGAGUUGGGACUGCUGUCGUUGUUCAGGCAACGCUCCCCGCCUGAUCGAUGUAUUUAGUGCUUAUUGACGAACGACUUGUGUUUUAUCAUUGGUGCUUUAUAUGAACAUCUAUUCUUUUCUUCUAUCCUUGAUAUUUUCUAAUGUAUACUGUAGUUUACUUUGCUCCUUUUUUUAUCAUGUAUUGUAUACCUGUACAACAUAUUGUAAAGCUUUGCAUGUAGCUGUAUUUGUAGAAUCCCGAUUGUUGUUGAAAUCGAAGAUGCCAGUUGUCACACUUGGAAUUUAUUAUCGGUGUACCUGUGACACUGAAUAUUAAUAAAUACCUCUUUGGAAUUAUCAUUGGCACAAAAUAUAUGUUUCAGACUUAUGUAUUUUAAUGGAUCUCCGUGUUUACUAAUC